AUGGCUGGCGCAGCUACCAUGCAAGUCGAGCGGAAACAAAAGUACUUGCUACUCUGGCGUCGAGCGGCGGACGGGUGAGUAAUGCUUGGGAACAUGCCUUGAGGUGGGGGACAACAGUUGGAAACGACUGCUAAUACCGCAUAAUGUCUACGGACCAAGGGGGGCUUCGGCUCUCGCCUUUAGAUUGGCCCAAGUGGGAUUAGCUAGUUGGUGAGGUAAUGGCUCACCAAGGCGACGAUCCCUAUCUGGUUUGAGAGGAUGAUCACCCACACUGGGACUGAGACACGGCCCACACUCCUACGGGAGGCAGCAGUGGGGAAUAUUGCACAAUGGGCGCAAGCCUGAUGCACCCAUGCCGCGUGUGUGAAGAAGGCCUUCGGGUUGUAAAGCACUUUCAGUCAGGAGGAAAGGUUAGUAGUUAAUACCUGCUAGCUGUGACGUUACUGACAGAAGAAGCACCGGCUAACUCCGUGCCAGCAGCCGCGGUAAUACGGAGGGUGCGAGCGUUAAUCGGAAUUACUGGGCGUAAAGCGUACGCAGGCGGUUUGUUAAGCGAGAUGUGAAAGCCCCGGGCUCAACCUGGGAACUGCAUUUCGAACUGGCAAACUAGAGUGUGAUAGAGGGUGGUAGAAUUUCAGGUGUAGCGGUGAAAUGCGUAGAGAUCUGAAAGAAUACCGAUGGCGAAGGCAGCCACCUGGGUCAACACUGACGCUCAUGUACGAAAGCGUGGAGAGCAAACAGGAUUAUAUACUGUGGUACUCA
rnacentral:rRNA from 1 species